UGGUGGAGGAAUGGGGAGUGUUGGGAGAGCUGGGCAUCUUGCCUGGCUCCCAGUCAAGCCUGGGAGGUGUGUGUUUUUGCCACACACACAUUUGCCCCGCCUCAACGCAAACAUGGGUGCACACACCAACCUUGUGUUCUCUCUUAACCAUCCUGACGAGCUUUCCCAGCCAGAUACUGGGACAUCUUUUUCCUCUCCUUGAUGGGGCCUAGGGUAGAGGUGAUGGGUUUCUUGACUUUGCCUGUUUCCCCUAACACGCUGCACUCGUUCCUGCUAGGACAGUGAGGAGGGCAGCUGGGCUCAGACGCUGGCCUAUGGGGACAUGAACCAUGAGUGGAUUGGGAAUGAAUGGCUACCCAGCCUGGGGCUCCCGCAGUACCGCAGCUACUUCAUGGAGUGCCUGGUGGACGCCCGCAUGCUGGACCACCUCACCAAGAAGGACCUGCGGGUCCACCUGAAGAUGGUGGACAGCUUCCAUCGAACCAGUCUUCAGUAUGGCAUCAUGUGUCUGAAGAGGCUGAAUUAUGACCGGAAGGAGCUGGAGAAGAGGC
rnacentral:sRNA from 1 species